CACACAUCAGUACUGUCAAAGAUGUGCAGUUAUUUUAGCUCACAGUAGAGUUUCUCGUGACUUUACUACAGAUCAGCCUCACAUCAGCUCAUCUGUCAUUUUAUCACUGAACCAGUUUUGAAGAGUUUGACUUUUCAUAUUUGUGGACUGAAACCGUUGAAGAUGUUUCACAGAAUUUGGUUCUAUUUGUGGCAUCCAGUUGAUGAAAUAUCAAACGAAGGAGGAAAAUUCAGUCACUCUAAAUGCUCAUCGUACUGAAAUAUUGGAUGAUAAGACUCAGUGGAAGUUUAGUAGAGGAAACAUUUUAAUAGCUGAAAUCAAUAAAUUGGUUGACAGAUUCACUGUAUAUGAUGAUGUUGUUGAUGGAAGAUUUAGAGACACACUGAAGAUAGACAAUCAAACAGGAUCUCUGACUAUCACAAACAUCACAUGUGAACAUGAUAGACAUUAUGUACUACUAAUAGAGAGAGGUGUGAUAAACAAGUUAUUUAAAGCUUCCUGUGUUUCUGACUCUGUCCACUGUUGUGGUUCUACUGAAGUUGUGAUCUGAUUGGCCCUCUCUGCUUUGGUGGGCGAGGCUACUGUCAUUCUUCUGGUUUAUGACAUCAGAGCGGAACAAGAUCAAGCACAUAACUCCCAAACUCUGGAAUAAUCUACCUCCCACUGUUCGGGAGGCAGACUGUCAGUUUAAAUCUAGACAAUACAAUAGAAUACAAUUCAAAAUAGUUCACCAAAAACUGAAAAUUCUGUCAUCAUUUUGGACCAUUUUUUUUUUAUCUCCUUUUGUGGUCCAAAAAAAGAAAGAAAGGCACAUGGCUUUAGAACAACACAAGGCCAAGGCUAAGUAAAUGUUGACUCAAUUUUCAUUUUUUGGGUGAUCUAUCGCUUUAAGGAAAAUCAUUUAAUUUACUGUAAAUGUAUAUUGUAAAAAGAAAGUCAGUCUUACUGAUUUUUUUUUUUUAAACAACCGAAAAAAAGUCAUAAUUCCAAGUGCGUACUGAUCUCUCUCUCCAUUGAGGUUGGAUUCCUCCUACCAAAAUGAAUGCACAUAAAUGGGACAGCACAUAAAUAAAUGACAAGCAUACCAAAAACGUA